rnacentral:tRNA from 1 species
GUGGCUGUAGCUUAAACGGCUAGAGCGCAGGAUUGUGGCUCCUGAGGAGACGGUUCGACCCCGUCCAGUCACACGA